CCACAGCUACAACCGCACGGGCCAAGUUUUAAGUUCGGUGUUAACCGACACUUGUUCUCGGCGAGUCUGAGUGAAACU
rfam:Lactobacillus similis DSM 23365 = JCM 2765 strain DSM 23365 NODE_203, whole genome shotgun sequence.